UGAUGAUACGCGGUAUGGCAUGUAAUUUAAAACGUAUGAAUUAUUUGCUUCUGGAAUUUUCCAUUUCAUUCUUCUGAACUGAGGUUGACUGCAGAUAACCAAAACCAUGGAUAAGUUGUAUGAAGUGUGAUGCCUGGAGUUAUGACAGCCAUCUUGCAACCAUGAGAAGAUAAGGCUGUGGAUGAAAACCAAUAUACCAAGAAUGGUUGUGUUAAAAGAUGAAAAGAGCUUGGGUCUUGAAUGUCAUCACUGAACACUUCACCAGUUUUCAAACAGCCCUAUUUCUGAACUCUUGUGAUGUGAGAUUACUAAUGUCCUCAUUAUUUAAGCUACAUUAGUAGUUGGAUUUCUUGUCACAUGUAGCUGAAAAUAUCCUAGCUAAUACAUCAACAAAUAAAUGAGUAAAUAAUAAAAUUUUUAAUUAAAAAGAAAAAUUGAGCUCUAUACAUAUUGUAUGCAUGUAUCAAAAUCUCACUUGUACUCUAUAAAUAUGUUCAACUAUUAUGGAUCCAUUUUUUAAACAUACAAAUUUGAACUCUUUUUUUUUCUUUUUAUGUUUCUGCCAGCAGGAAGUCAAAAUCUGAACUCUUUUUGUGUUUAUAUGCAUCCGUUUUUUAAAUGACCUGAUGAAAUUAAAACUGUUGAGAAAAAUUAAAAAAAAAAAAGAAAUGAGUGGGCCGGGCGCAGUGGCUCAC
rnacentral:lncRNA from 10 species